UUCCCACUCUUUUAUUUUUAUGAGAAUUAAUACAAAUUAAUUGUACAAAAGUUUUUUUUUUUUCUUCUUCCUUGAACAUUCAAAUGAAGAAUUAAUACUACCUAUACAUAUUUUUUAUUAUUUUCUUCCUUUAACUUUCAAAUCAAUAAUUAAAUCUACCUAUACAUGUAGGUAUAACCGUAUAAGUGCUGGAGGGAGGAAGUUGUUGAAUAGCCCCCUCUACUUAAGGUAGUCAUAGGUAUAACCGUAUAACUGCCGGAGGGAGGAAGGAAAGAGCUGAAGGGCCCCUUGUACUUAAGGCAAUCAUAAGUUAGAUGCCACUGUGAAUGAUUAUUUAUUACUUUUAUACUAUUAUAGGAGGCUAUUCAGCUCUGGUG